rnacentral:lncRNA from 1 species
GCGCUUUUUGAUCAGCUUGCGGUGGCUGUUCGAAAAUCGCGGCCGCGUGCAAUGGAAGGUUGAGAAUGCCGCUAAAACGGAUCCUCAGCACGGAAGAAUU